CACGGGGGGAGCAAGCGUUGUUCGGACUCACUGGGCGUAAAGGGCGUGUAGGCGGUCAAGUAAGUGGCAUGUGAAAUCCCCCGGCUUACCCGGGGACCGGCAUCCCAUACUGCUUGGCUUGAGUACGGGAGAGGAUGUGGGAAUUCCUGGUGUAGCGGUGAAAUGCGUAGAUAUCAGGAGGAACACCGGUGGCGAAGGCGCACAUCUGGCCCGAUACUGACGCUGAAGCGCGAAAGCUAGGGGAGCAAACAGG
rnacentral:rRNA from 1 species